UGCCAGCAGCCGCGGUAACACGGGGGGCGCAAGCGUUAUUCGGAAUUACUGGGCGUAAAGCGCGCGUAGGCGGUUGUUUAAGUCGGAUGUGAAAGCCCUGGGCUCAACCUGGGAACUGCAUUCGAUACUGGGCAACUAGAGUAUGAGAGAGGGAGGUAGAAUUCCAUGUGUAGCGGUGAAAUGCGUAGAUAUGUGGAGGAAUACCAGUGGCGAAGGCGGUUUUCUGGCUUAUUCCUGACGCUGAGGCGCGAAAGCAAGGGGAGCGAACAGGAUUAGAUA
rnacentral:rRNA from 1 species